GACGAACGCUGGCGGCGUGCUUAACACAUGCAAGUCGAACGGAAAGGCCCUGCUUUUGUGGGGUGCUCGAGUGGCGAACGGGUGAGUAACACGUGAGUAACCUGCCCUUGACUUUGGGAUAACUUCAGGAAACUGGGGCUAAUACCGGAUAGGAGCUCCUGCUGCAUGGUGGGGGUUGGAAAGUUUCGGCGGUUGGGGAUGGACUCGCGGCUUAUCAGCUUGUUGGUGGGGUAGUGGCUUACCAAGGCUUUGACGGGUAGCCGGCCUGAGAGGGUGACCGGCCACAUUGGGACUGGGAUACGGCCCAGACUCCUACGGGAGGCAGCAGUGGGGAAUAUUGCACAAUGGGCGGAAGCCUGAUGCAGCAACGCCGCGUGCGGGAUAACGGCCUUCGGGUUGUAAACCGCUUUCGCCUGUGACGAAGCGUGAGUGACGGUAAUGGGUAAAGAAGCACCGGCUAACUACGUG
rnacentral:rRNA from 1 species